rnacentral:rRNA from 1 species
CCCUUAGAUGUUCUGGGCCGCACGCGCGCUACACUGAUCAGUGCAACAAGCAUCCGUCCUUGGUCGACAGGCCCGGGCAAUCUUUGAACGCUGAUCGUGAUGGGGAUAGACUUUUGCAAUUUUUGGUCUUCAACGAGGAAUUCCUAGUAAACGCAAGUCAUCAACUUGCAUUGAUUACGUCCCUGCCCUUUGUACACACCGCCCGUCGCACCUACCGAUUGAAUGGUCCGGUGAAGCCUCCGGAUUGGCGUGCACCCUCGGGUGCUGCCGAGAAGUUGGCUAAACCUUACCAUUUAGAGGAAGGUGAAGUCGUAACA